CACUCCAUGAAGGUGUGAAUUUAUAGCAUGUUAGAGUUCUGAUGGCAGUUAGUGCUGACAGAGAGAUUGUAAUUCUGUCCUGAUGGUUGAAAAUAACUGCUUGUUACUCUUCCACAGGUUUUCCUGGUGACAAAUCUCAGGCAUUCAAAGGUUCUGUUAGCAGUGCCAUACUUGUGGGUUUACAGAGAUGGUGUGUCUGGCUGAGAACAAAGGAGCCGUACCAGGGAAGUUGAAGCCUAUCUUCAUUUUCAAGUGCAGGCUAAAAUAAGGUCUGAGGAAAAGAAUGAGCAGCGUGUGAAGGAUAGGAACAGAAAUCAUGGAAGAUCUGUUUGUCCAGGCCAGUGUUUCACCAUAAGAGAUCACUUUAAAAUAAAUGAGAUGAAAUAAUUCUUUGCAAUUGCAAAUUUACCUUCCUUGCUUACCACAUUGUUAACUGUAGGGACUGAUAAUCUGGUUCUUCCACUAUUAACUUGUACUCUGUGUUCUAGCAAUAAAUGCUCUUUAUGCUA
ensembl:processed_transcript Snhg1 small nucleolar RNA host gene 1